AGUGAACGCUGGCGGUAGGCCUAACACAUGCAAGUCGAACGGCAGCACAGUAAGAGCUUGCUCUUACGGGUGGCGAGUGGCGGACGGGUGAGGAAUACAUCGGAAUCUACUUUUUCGUGGGGGUUAACGUAGGGAAACUUACGCUAAUACCGCAUCCGCCCUACGGGUGAAAGCAUGGGAUCUUCGGACCUUGCGCGAUUGAAUGAGCCGAUGUCGGAUUAGCUAGUUGGCGGGGUAAAGGCCCACCAAGGCGAGGAUCCGUAGCUGGUCUGAGAGGAUGAUCAGCCACACUGGAACUGAGACACGGUCCAGACUCCUACGGGAGGCAGCAGUGGGGAAUAUUGGACAAUGGGCGCAAGCCUGAUCCAGCCAUACCGCGUGGGUGAAGAAGGCCUUCGGGUUGUAAAGCCCUUUUGUUGGGAAAGAAAAGCAGCAGGUUAAUACCCCGCUGUUCUGACGGUACCCAAAGAAUAAGCACCGGCUAACUUCGUG
rnacentral:rRNA from 1 species